GCGUCGAUAGUUUAAGGGUAGAAUGUGAGCUUCCCAGUCUAGAAAUAGCUGGGGUCUGCGGUAACGUGGACUUCUAAAAACGUGUUUGCUCACGGUCCGGGUUCGAGUCCCGGUCGACGCA
rfam:Pseudogymnoascus pannorum VKM F-4246 contig_2483, whole genome shotgun sequence.